UAACAUCACGAGCUUAAUCCACCAUGGGGUUUGAAUAUCCUUUAUGAUUCCAUAUUAUUUAAACUUCUAUAUCAUCGUUCUCCAUCUGAAUGAUGCAUCCCCGGUUUCGUUCCCCCCCUCACCAUGUUAAUAGAGACUGUUAUGAAUGCAAAUAACAGAGUCUAUAACACAGUGGAAAAGUGAUAAAAAUUGUACUAAUAAUCAGUGCAACAGUACAAUUAUCCUUGAAGGAAAUGGAAAGAUGAAAUCUAAAGAAUAGUACUAGAAAAGCAUAAGCUUCAUAGAGAGAAGAGAGCCAUAUUCUUUCACAUUCAAUUCCCCCCCUCUAGUAACCAAUCAUUGGCCUAUUUAACAUAGUCAGUGACAUAUUUUCUGUUAGAGCUCCUUUCUCUCAUUCCACGUCUUGGCUCC
rnacentral:lncRNA from 1 species